GAUUCCUAGUGAUUAGAGUUUGAUCAUGGCUCAGAACGUACGCUGGCGGCACGCCUAAUACAUGCAAGUCGAACGAAGUAGCAAUACUUAGUGGCAGACGGGUGAGUAACAUGUAGGUAUCUGCCCUUUGGCCUGGAAUAACACGAGGAAACUUGUGCUAAUACCGGAUAAGUCUUUACGGAGAAAGCUUUAUGCACCAUUGGAUGAGCCUGCACUUGAUUAGUUUGUUGGUGGGGUAAUGGCCUACCAAGACUGUGAUCAAUAGCUGAUUUGAGAGGAUGAUCAGCCACAUUGGGACUGAGACACGGCCCAAACUCCUACGGGAGGCAGCAGUAGGGAAUCUUGCACAAUGGAGGAAACUCUGAUGCAGCGAUGCCGCGUGAGUGAAGAAGGCCUUUGGGUUGUAAAGCUCUUUCGUCGGGGAAGAAAAUGACUGUACCCGAAUAAGAAGGUCCGGCUAACUUCGUGCCAGCAGCCGCGGUAAUACGAAGGGACCUAGCGUAGUUCGGAAUUACUGGGCUUAAAGAGUUCGUAGGCGGUUGAAAAAGUUGGUGGUGAAAUCCCAGAGCUUAACUCUGGAACUGCCAUCAAAACUUUUCAGCUAGAGUAUGAUAGAGGAAAGCAGAAUUUCUAGUGUAGAGGUGAAAUUCGUAGAUAUUAGAAAGAAUACCAAUUGCGAAGGCAGCUUUCUGGAUCAUUACUGACGCUGAGGAGCGAAAGCAUGGGUAGCGAAGAGGAUUAGAUACCCUCGUAGUCCAUGCCGUAAACGAUGUGUGUUAGACGUUGGAAAUUUAUUUUCAGUGUCGCAGCGAAAGCGAUAAACACACCGCCUGGGGAGUACGACCGCAAGGUUAAAACUCAAAUGAAUUGACGGGGACCCGCACAAGUAGUGGAGCAUGUGGUUUAAUUCGAAGAUACGCGCAGAACCUUACCAACACUUGACAUGUUCGUCGCGACUCUAAGAGAUUAGAGUUUUCGGUUCGGCCGGACGAAACACAGGUGCUGCAUGGCUGUCGUCAGCUCGUGUCGUGAGAUGUUGGGUUAAGUCCCGCAACGAGCGCAACCCUCACUUUUAGUUGCCAUCAUUAAGUCGGGCACUCUGAAAGAACUGCCAGUGAUAAGCUGGAGGAAGGUGGGGAUGACGUCAAGUCCUCAUGGCCCUUACGUGUUGGGCUACACACGUGCUACAAUGGUAUCUACAACAGGAAGCAAGACGGCGACGUCAAGCAAAUCCUUAAAAGAUACCUCAGUUCGGAUUGCACUCUGCAACUCGAGUGCAUGAAGCUGGAAUUACUAGUAAUCGUGGAUCAGCGUGCCACGGUGAAUGCGUUCCCGGGUCUUGUACACACCGCCCGU
rnacentral:rRNA from 1 species